UACGUAGGGAGCGAGCGUUGUCCGGAAUUACUGGGUGUAAAGGGAGCGUAGGCGGGUCAUUAAGUUGAUUGUGAAAUCUAUCGGCUCAACCGGUAGCUGCGAUCAAAACUGAUGAUCUUGAGUGAAGUAGAGGCAGGCGGAAUUCCUAGUGUAGCGGUGAAAUGCGUAGAUAUUAGGAGGAACACCAGUGGCGAAGGCGGCCUGCUGGACUGUAACUGACGUUGAGGCUCGAAAGCGUGGGGAGCAAA
rnacentral:rRNA from 1 species